GGGGCCAUCGCUCAGUGGAAGAGUGUGUGCUUUGCAUGCAACAGGUCUUAAGUUCAAUCUUUGGCAUUU